UGAGGAUGUCUGUGAUAGUUAUUCUCAUGGCAAUUACCCGUAAGUGGAGCUCGGUGCCGUACAAAAAAACCCACCUUCAGCGUACAAUGAGAUAAAAAUAGUGGCCAUGGUAGAUAACAUAUUUUCUCAAAUAAUAUAGUGCAUUUAAAUCUAGAAGAGUAAUUACCUGGAUCAGUUUUAGUUCUGCCCCUAACUGCAGCUUGCAAUCCAAACCAUACAUGGCAUCACGAAAUAUUUUUACUAUUUAACAUAGAAAAAAAUAUUCACCAUUCUAUAUAAGAAACAAAAAAAUAUGUAGAUAAGAGAAAAUAGUAAUACAAAAAAAUAAAAAUCACUCAGCAAGGGCAUUGAGAAGCUGUAUUAAGAUUCCCUUCAGUCAAGACCACUAACGCUUCUAAGUGCUUGUAACAAUGUUUAUACACACUACACAUCUCCUCGUACUGAAUGCGGGAUUCAAGUAAUAAGCUGCAUUAAAUUAACAAUAAAGCAUUUUAAUAUAUUAUCAUCAUCAUAAACUUGGUUACAUUAACAGGCAUAUCGAUUAGUUCUCUCACCUGCCCAGAUGAAUGUUAUGAAUGUUUGCUUCUUCCAAUCGUGCUCAAACCAAUGCUAUAUAUUUUGCAAGAUUUUGGAAGCAAUAUCUUGAAUUGCUUGUCUUGCUCGCUUUCAUUGCUUCAUAUACCAUUAUGGCACUUGUAGCUUGCUUCUCCCCAUCCACAAUUCUUAAAACCUUUGCAAUAGGUUCAUGGAUAUUCACUAUCUUUUUGGCUUGUUCCCCAAAAUUUUGGAUUGAGGAUAGGUUGAAUGUAUCGUGUCCAGUGGGUCUUACUGGAGCAUUGUUAUACCAAUCCUCUGAAGUGAAAUCAUUGCAAAGCCAUUUCUAUGCUCCAAAAAGAACUUGAAAGAGAAAUGUAAUUAGGUGCAAAUCUUGUUUGUGCCGGUCUAAUCAAUUCCCUGGCAGUAAGUUCGCAUCUAUAUCCAGAAACUCUGUUAUGAUUAUAAUAAAAUGGUGACCUUUUUGCUUGGAUCAAAGCAAAUUCUCACCCGCUAAGUGUACCAAGUCAUGCAAUAUUAGGGCGAGGGGAAUGGGCAGCACAAGAGGUCCAAUACAAGUGUGGUCUUGUUGCAUCAACAUUUCACCACGGCCUUCUUAUAUGAAGAAAUGGUUACUGUAAUCAUUUUGACUACAGAUUUUUCUCGCAUCUCAUGAACCACAUCAUCCAUCAACUGCAAAAGGUAGUUAGCAUCUUAUCAUGACCGGAAGUAUUUAAACUGAUCGAUGAAAGACUAUUUUCAUCACAAUACACCAAAAAAUUAGUAAUAGACAAUCGUGUGAGUGAUGUCCACCCAUCACACAUAUUGUCACUCCCAUAAUUAUCCCCAUUUCUUCUUUAAUAUAUCAACGUAAUUCUUGAGAUCUUCUAAUUUCCAUAUCUAGUAUGGUCGCCCAGUCUCAUAAGGUGUUGGCCCUUUCCACCUGCUCCAGCUCUACCAACUUCAUCUAUCAUGUUUGAUAAAAAUUUCCUUGGCUUUUAUAACCCAUUGAAUAUUUUCAUAAAAUAAAAAAAUUGUGCUAAGCAUGUUUUGCAUACGUACCCUAAUACCCAAUUUUUGGGUUUGGGGUUCCACAAAGUCUUAACUUGGCUUGUUUUUUACUUCCGCUGUUCGAUUCUUGAAGGUUCUAUAUCUUCUAUGGGAAGAUCUUUACCUUUUUUUUUCGGUUCUUUUUGUGACUUCCUUGAAAAUUUUAUUCUAGGCAUCCUUCACAAACUGUGUGAGCGCCUCAAUCCCAUAAAAUGACCAACAGCUAUGACUAGAUGACCUAUUAUCUCCCCCUCUAAUUCCUGUUCAGUCCAUGUGUAUAUCAGCGACCGAUUGCUCCUUUGGCAUACUCUAAGUCAGCCCGUUCUCGUGGAUUCAUUCAUCAAUCCAAAUCUGAGUCAAGAAUCAUGUUUUUUCAUGUCAAUCCCCUGUCUCCUUCUAACAGGAUCACUUAGAAUUUAGCUCUUAUUUCAGCCUUUGUGUUGUAACCUCUUCGUGCUCAUGUUGAUUACGGUUCAAAUACUCUCUGUUGAUUUAGUCACUUCUAAAGGGCACUUCACCUUUUCCACAUUGGAAUAACCACCUGCCAAGUGUUGUUUUAAACGUGACACACCACUUCCCUCAUUAUUUUAUGACAAUCAUUACACAUUACAGUUGUCGAUUAUCUCCAACUGCUCACCCAUAAUUCCAUCCAAGGAUCACGUUUGUUUUCUUUUUUUCUUGGAGCCUCAUUUCAUUUUGAUGCAUAUCUAAAAAAAAAAUGCACGCCCUUUAAAAAUAAACUUUCAAUUUAUAAACAAAACUAAAAUUAACUCAAAAAGAUUGUUAUUCCUUUUAACCUAAAUGUGUUAUGAAAGUGAUUUUAUGAAAAGAUUGAGUUUUCUUUCAAUAUAUAUAAAAUUAAAAAAGUUCAUAAAAAAAGAUGAUAUUGUUUACUGGGAUUGUAUACAUAACAAUC
rnacentral:lncRNA from 1 species